rnacentral:rRNA from 1 species
GAUGAACGCUGGCGGCGUGCUUAACACAUGCAAGUCGAACGGUGAACACGGAGCUUGCUCUGUGGGAUCAGUGGCGAACGGGUGAGUAACACGUGAGCAACCUGCCCCUGACUCUGGGAUAAGCGCUGGAAACGGCGUCUAAUACUGGAUAUGUGACGUGACCGCAUGGUCUGCGUUUGGAAAGAUUUUUCGGUUGGGGAUGGGCUCGCGGCCUAUCAGCUUGUUGGUGGGGUAAUGGCUCACCAAGGCGUCGACGGGUAGCCGGCCUGAGAGGGUGACCGGCCACACUGGGACUGAGACACGGCCCAGACUCCUACGGGAGGCAGCAGUGGGGAAUAUUGCACAAUGGGCGCAAGCCUGAUGCAGCAACGCCGCGUGAGGGAUGACGGCCUUCGGGUUGUAAACCUCUUUUAGCAGGGAAGAGGCGAAAGUGACGGUACCUGCAGAAAAAGCGCCGGCUAACUACGUG